CCUACGGGAGGCAGCAGUGGGGAAUUUUGCACAAUGGGGGAAACCCUGAUGCAGCCAUGCCGCGUGUGUGAAGAAGGCCUUCGGGUUGUAAAGUACUUUCAGCGGGGAGGAAGGCGAUAAGGUUAAUAACCUUGUCGAUUGACGUUACCCGCAGAAGAAGCACCGGCUAACUCCGUGCCAGCAGCCGCGGUAAUACGGAGGGUGCAAGCGUUAAUCGGAAUUACUGGGCGUAAAGCGCACGCAGGCGGUCUGUCAAGUCGGAUGUGAAAUCCCCGGGCUCAACCUGGGAACUGCAUUCGAAACUGGCAGGCUAGAGUCUUGUAGAGGGGGGUAGAAUUCCAGGUGUAGCGGUGAAAUGCGUAGAGAUCUGGAGGAAUACCGGUGGCGAAGGCGGCCCCCUGGACAAAGACUGACGCUGAGGCGCGAAAGCGUGGGGAGCAAACAGGAUUAGAUACCCUUGUAGUC
rnacentral:rRNA from 1 species